UGCAAUUGGAGCAUGCUGUACUCAACUCCUCAGAGGUUUACCAGCAGCACAACGCUGACAUUUGAUUCAUUUUCUCACCUCACAACUCGGUUUCCGGUCUCAUAAGCAGUUGUGCUCUCGUGAGGGAAACAUACCUGCAUCGAGAGAAGCAUAGCCGAGGAGCUAGCUAAGCUGAGACGAUACCUGAGCUGAGACAACCACAGUCGAGGAGCUACCUGAGCUGAGAGAAGCAUAGCCGAGGAGAUAGCUGUCAUUUCGUCAAAUCAACACAUAAAAAAUGCUGAGAAUACAAAGUUAUCGUUGUGAACUAACUGAACUAUUGGAGACGCAUCAGGAAUUAUUGGACCAGUUAGCAGAAAAAGGAUGGACAAAUAUGAAAUAUCUAACAUUUGUGAGAGACUAUGAAAAAUUAGGAGUUUGGCAUAGUGAUAACUAUAAUCAUAUCUCAGUUUGUGAUUUAUACGGUACAUCAUAUGAUGCUUACAGGGGAAAAGAUUGCGCCGAUUCAUGGAGAUGUGAUUG